rnacentral:rRNA from 1 species
GACGAACGCUGGCGGCGUGCUUAACACAUGCAAGUCGAACGGAAAGGCCCUGCGUUUGUGGGGUGCUCGAGUGGCGAACGGGUGAGUAACACGUGAGUAACCUGCCCUUGACUUUGGGAUAACUUCAGGAAACUGGGGCUAAUACCGGAUAGGAGCUCCUGCUGCAUGGUGGGGGUUGGAAAGUUUCGGCGGUUGGGGCUGGACUCGCGGCUUAUCAGCUUGUUGGUGGGGUAGUGGCUUACCAAGGCUUUGACGGGUAGCCGGCCUGAGAGGGUGACCGGCCACAUUGGGACUGAGAUACGGCCCAGACUCCUACGGGAGGCAGCAGUCGGGAAUAUUGCACAAUGGGCGGAAGCCUGAUGCAGCAACGCCGCGUGCGGGAUGACGGCCUUCGGGUUGUAAACCGCUUUCGCCUGUGACGAAGAGUGAGUGACGGUAAUGGGUAAAGAAGCACCGGCUAACUACGUG